AGCUCCAAUAGCGUAUAUUAAAGUUGUUGCAGUUAAAAAGCUCGUAGUUGAACUUCUGGGAGUCACGUCUGUGGCAUUGUCGCGGUUCGUGGCUUUCAUCCGCUUGAGAACCACGUACGUCCUUGAGUGGUCGGCGUGGGAAUCAGGCCUUUUACUGUGAAAAAAUCAGAGUGUUCAAGGCAGGCAAGCGCCCUGAAUACACAAGCAUGGAAUAAUAGAAUAGGACUAGUGUCUAUUUUGUUGGUUAUUGGACAUUAGUAAUGAUUAAUAGGGACAGUUGGGGGCAUUAGUAUUUAAUAGUCAGAGGUGAAAUUCUUGGAUUUAUUAAAGGCUAACUUAUGCGAAAGCAUUUGCCAAGGAUGUUUUCA
rnacentral:rRNA from 1 species